AUACAAACGUGAGAAAUCUUUUACAACUUUAAAUGGGGACAUUAACAGUCAUCAAAAUGUUCUUGAUUCUUGGGAAUAGGAUAUCAAAUGGAAGGUGCAAAUGCACAUCAUUGUAAAAUGUGAUAAAAAGUUAACACAGUUAAGCACUUGCUAUUUAAAUAAUUUUCUUUUGUUUCUGUGGCCAACACAAAUGAUUUGAGUACGACUAAAAUAAUGUGCAAUUACAUUCGGUGAUUAUUUUGAAUUUCCUUGGGAGCUGGAUAUGGGACCUUACACAGCAGCAUGCAUUGCAAAGCUGGAACAGAAUAAUUUCAAGUCAGAAAAUCAGUUGAUUCAACAGAAAGAGUAACCUGAAAAUAAAACUACAAAGAUCACAAAAUACAGACUUGCAGAUGUGCCUGUACACAGUGGUCUAGCAAGCAGUGGGUAUUAUUAUUCUUAUAUUAUUCAAACAAUGGUAGGAUGAUGACUGCGAUUCCUGGUAUAAAUUUGAUGAUGAAGAUUUAGCAGAAUUUAAAAUGGAUGAUGAUCAAGAAAUUUUAAAAAUCAGUGUUUGGAUGGAGAGUACAUAAAUAUAUUUGAUCAUACGCUGAAGUGCAUGUCACAUAGACGGUAAAAGAGCUGGUAAAUUGCUUAUAUAAUUUUCAAACAAUAAACAAAUGGACAUGAUAGAUGAAGAUGAUGAGAUGAUAAGAUAUAUAUUAUGGCUAACUCUUGUGAGACCUCAUCACAUUAUUAUGUCACCAGCCUUUGAGAAAAGUGUAUACUAACAAAAUGUGACACUUACGCAAAAGUGAAAGCAAUAAAGUUGAGAGCAUUUGCAGUUUGUGAAAGAACUGCUUAUAUAUAUUGGUGUUUAUUGAAGUCCUGUUCAUAGCAGAAUUAUUUUUCUGCCUGCAUCAAAUUAAAUGACUAUCAUUAGCAUACAGUUUGCACCUAUAUUCCUCAUUACCACUGGAUUUUACAUUAAAAAAAUAGCUUGUGGUCCUGCCAGUGACUG
rnacentral:lncRNA from 10 species